UGGGGAAUAUUGCGCAAUGGGGGGAACCCUGACGCAGCCAUGCCGCGUGAAUGAAGAAGGCCUUAGGGUUGUAAAGUUCUUUCGGUAUUGAGGAAGGUUGAUGUGUUAAUAGCACAUCAAAUUGACGUUAAAUACAGAAGAAGCACCGGCUAACUCCGUGCCAGCAGCCGCGGUAAUACGGAGGGUGCGAGCGUUAAUCGGAAUAACUGGGCGUAAAGGGCACGCAGGCGGUUAUUUAAGUGAGGUGUGAAAGCCCCGGGCUUAACCUGGGAAUUGCAUUUCAGACUGGGUAACUAGAGUACUUUAGGGAGGGGUAGAAUUCCACGUGUAGCGGUGAAAUGCGUAGAGAUGUGGAGGAAUACCGAGGGCGAAGGCAGCCCCUUGGGAAUGUACUGACGCUCAUGUGCGAAAGCGUGGGGAGCAAACAGGAUUAGAUACCCUGGUAGUCCACGCUGUAAACGCUGUCGAUUUGGGGGUUGGGGUUUAACUCUGGCGCCCGUAGCUAACGUGAUAAAUCGACCGCCUGGGGAGUACGGCCGCAAGGUUA
rnacentral:rRNA from 1 species